AUGGACAUGAACUACUGUAAUGAUCAAGACCUUCAUGGUUCAAGAUGGAUGGACUGUAGCUCAUUCAGUUUUUCUCCAGCCAUGAAGAGCUUAGCCUAAUCCCUCUGGGGAAGGAGCACCACCAUGCCGUGCUGUUACUCAUUUAGGAAGUCAGUACUCCAUUUGUUGAGUAGGACAGAGGAUUCAUGGCUGUUCAUUGUAACAUCUAAAAAUUGUUCAAAUUAAAUGCUGAAGGACCACACCUGGACCAAUGAUGUGAAUGGAAUGCAUCUGAAUGAAAAUUAUGAUCAAUCAUGUUUGUAACCCCUGAGGUCCAUGGUGAAAAGACAAUUAGUGUAUG